CCUCCCCUUUCUACCCAGAGUCACUGCUGUGGCCGCCGCCAUUUUAGCAUUUUGUCAGAACCUUCCGCGCUGCGAGGAGGAGGACCUGCAGAUUUCCAUGUGGUGAGAGACUCCAAGUCCUCCUACUGUGUUCGUUACUCAGUUAAAACUUAACCGACUUCCUUGGGCGUCAGGGUUUUUCUAGUGGGGUCGCGGUCUGCGCCCCUGUCACUGAGAGCUGACCUCGGUCCUCGACUUUGUGCGGCUGUGGAGAUGGUGAAGCUGUUCAUUGGAAAUCUGCCCCGGGAGGCCACAGAGCAAGAGAUCCGCUCACUCUUCGAGCAGUACGGGAAGGUGCUGGAAUGUGACAUCAUUAAGAACUAUGGCUUUGUGCACAUAGAGGACAAGACGGCCGCUGAGGAUGCCAUACGCAACCUGCACCACUACAAGCUGCACGGAGUGAACAUCAAUGUGGAAGCCAGCAAGAAUAAGAGCAAAGCCUCAACCAAGUUGCAUGUGGGCAACAUCAGCCCCACUUGUACCAACCAAGAGCUUCGGGCCAAGUUUGAGGAGUAUGGCCCAGUCAUCGAAUGUGACAUCGUGAAAGAUUAUGCCUUUGUACACAUGGAGCGGGCAGAGGAUGCAGUGGAGGCCAUCAGGGGCCUUGACAACACAGAGUUUCAAGCUGCCCGGAUGGUUACUUGGGAACAGCUUCGUUAUGGUUUCCAAUUCAAACUGCAUUCACUGCUGCCUGUGGAGAGGAAACAUCUUGAAAGACCCAGGAACACAUCAGUUGGUGGAACUACUUUUAGAUCAAGGUAAUAAUUUCUCUAUUAAUUUCUCUCACACAUACUACAUUUGCUUCUACACUUUCCAAUUAUUGUUUUUCCCCAAGCCACAUAAUCUGAACCCACCACAAGGACUCUCCUAUGUCUAACAGGGGAGGUUUCACAGCUAUACUUGAAUUAUGAGAAAAGACAUCUGAGACCUACUGAUGAUUGUUUUGUCUGUGGAUGGGCUGUUACUGUUGUACAUAUGCAUGUUUAAUGGGGAGUACCGAAUCCACUUAAGAGCGAGAAUAAAACCCUGGGAAUUAUCUGCCAUGCCACAUGUGAUGUAUAGGGCCCAUUAGGGGCUGUGUGAUGCUAGUCCCUAGCCUGCAUACACCUGACUCUGCUUGUCACUGUUUUGACUGACAGUAGUCAGUCAUGGCUACUUGGGGCCCUUGGCCAGUUAUGCUGAGACAGGCUAGUUUUCUCAAACAGACCCACAACUUACAAAUUUAAUACCUUCUUUUUCAAUACUGCAAACUUUAAGAAAAAAUACUUCUUUCCAUCUCUAGAAUAUAUUGUGUGUUUAUUUACAUGCUCAGGAUGUACCUUAUGGAUUCCUAGGGUGAUAUUCCUCUAGAGUUCAGGAGGUGGGAACCUGGCACUCCUGUAAUUCUGUGUGAGCUCCCUUGAUUCUAUGGGAAAGACAAAAAGUAGGGUGCUCCCCUAUCCACUGCUGGUUCAGCAGUUGCCGAGAGUAGGUUGUAGUAACAGUCCUAUCACCCCUUACUGAAAACAAUUGAUAGACUUGAGAGUGAGGAAUAGUGUGGGGGCUAGAAGUGUAGUUCCAUGUUAGAGUGUUUGCCUAGCAUGCAUGAGGCCCAGUGUUCCAUCCCCAGCACUGCUAGAAAUUCAACAACUUUUUAAAAAAAGAAAAGUGUGCACCAGGGAGAGGGACUUACUGCCUUUUAACAUGAAUACUGUUAAUUAACAUCAACCCAAAACACAGUGAAUGUCUUUGGUCUAAACAGAAGUCAACCCAGUGAAACAGAUCACUGUCAUGGGGAGACAGACAAGAAGGCUCUCAGGAUCACACAAUUCUUUGAGGCUCAAAAUGUGGGGGGUAGAGUGGACACACAGGAUAUCAGAACCAGGGAGGCUAUGGUCAGAAAAGCAACAACACCAAGAGGCAGUGAGAGAAGCUGAGCUGUUUAAUUCACCUCCUUGGGUAGACUCAAGGAUGUGGCUACUCCUGAACAACUCACACUUGGAAGCCACCUCGAGUGGCUAGAGGAGCAGCCACUUGAGUCAGAGGAUGAGGCAGGAUGGGCAGGGAAGGCUUCAGUGUCCCCGUCUCCAUCAUCUGGUUCUCCUGCCCUUGGGCCCUGCUUCAGCUCUGAGAGGGUCCUGGCUGAUCUCAGAGGCAAAGAACUGGAUGGUGAACCGCACACCCUGACUGUGGUGGCACAAUGACCCUGAGGCAGGGACAGUGGUUCCCACAUAGCCCAUUUUGAGGGUGACACUAUCUGCACCAUGGUGGGGGUGGAGGCAUAAGGCUUGGGAAGAGGUGACAAGGUGGGGAAGAGUGAUAUUAGGGGUUGCCUGGGUCCCACCACCAGUUGAAUUAAAUAGCAGAAGAGAAGGUUGUGGGAACACUUGUUUGUCCCCAGUGAUAGUUCUUGGUGAUGGGCUGACCUUAGCAGCAGACCCUAGCAGCAGGCAGUUGUCCUGACAAGAGGGUGGUCUCUGUCGAUAGUCCCUGGCAGUUUCCUGAACGGAGGGAGGGAGCUGACCUGGGAAUCUUGCCCCCAACUACUUGUUCUUCUUAAAGAAGCUGAAUCGUUUUUCUCGCUCUCUUUCUCUGCCAUCCUUGCUGCGAAGCACGAUGGAGCCCUCAGGCUGCGACACUGGAGGCAUGGUCAUGGCCCGGGUCAGACCUCGACCUGCACUGGGCACCACUGGCUCUUCUGGCUCUCCAGAGGCAGAGGAUGCAGUGGCAAUAGCUGCAUUCACCACUCUCAGCCAUGAGCUCAUCUCUGCCUGUAAGGGACAGGAAGGCAUCACGUCAUACUCAAAGACUGACUGGAGGCCACAUGUAGUAGGCAGAAGGAAAGUAUGAUAGGAGUACCAACAUCCACCCCUCCAGAGAGACUCACAGGCCCUUCUGGGACACUGCUCUGUUCAAGUCUUUGCUGUUCGAACAGGGGCUGCAAAGAUAAGAAGCUGUGAGGAUGUGGUGGCUGGCAGAGUCAAAAGGGAUAUUCACAGACAUUAAAUUACCUGUGAAGACUCUG